UGGGGAAUAUUGCACAAUGGGCGCAAGCCUGAUGCAGCCAUGCCGCGUGUGUGAAGAAGGCCUUCGGGUUGUAAAGCACUUUCAGCGAGGAGGAAGGUGGUGAGCUUAAUAUGCUCAUCAAUUGACGUUACUCGCAGAAGAAGCACCGGCUAACUCCGUGCCAGCAGCCGCGGUAAUACGGAGGGUGCAAGCGUUAAUCGGAAUUACUGGGCGUAAAGCGCACGCAGGCGGUUUGUUAAGUCAGAUGUGAAAUCCCCGGGCUCAACCUGGGAACUGCAUUUGAAACUGGCAAGCUAGAGUCUCGUAGAGGGGGGUAGAAUUCCAGGUGUAGCGGUGAAAUGCGUAGAGAUCUGGAGGAAUACCGGUGGCGAAGGCGGCCCCCCUGGACGAAGACUGACGCUCAGGUGCGAAAGCGUGGGGCAGCAAACAGGAUUAGAUACCCCUGGUAGUCCACGCUGUAAACGAUGUCGAUUUUGGAGGUUGUGCCCCUUGAGGCGUGGCUUCCGGAGCUAACGCGUUAAAUCGACCGCCU
rnacentral:rRNA from 1 species